UUCUGACCGUAAACGAUGCCAACUAGCGAUCCGCCGGCGGAUUUUUCGCCCUGGUGGGGAGCUUCCCGGAAACGAAAGUCUUCCGGUUCCGGGGGAAGUAUGGUUGCAAAGCUGAAACUUAAAGGAAUUGACGGAAGGGCACCACCAGGAGUGGAGCCUGCGGCUUAAUUUGACUCAACACGGGGAAACUCACCCGGCCCGGACACCGCGAGGAUUGACAGAUUGAAAGCUCUUUCAUGAUUCGGUGGAUGGUGGUGCAUGGCCGUUCUUAGUUCGUGGAGUGAUUUGUCUGGUUUAUUCCGAUAACGAGCGAGACUCUAGCCUGCUAACUAGUCAGGGCAUUGUCUUUGUGCCCGCUGACUUCUUAGAGGGAUUUUCGGCGCUCAGCCGCACGAAAUUGAGCAAUAACAGGUCUGUGAUGCCCUUAGAUGUCCGGGGCUGCACGCGCGCUACACUGGCGAAGGCAACAUGCCUGUCAUGCCGCGAAGGCGGUGGGUAA
rnacentral:rRNA from 1 species